AGGGUUUCACCAUGUUGGCCAGGAUGGUCUCAAUCUCUCGACCUUGUGAUCCGCCCACCUCGGCCUCCCAAAGUGCUGGGAUUACAGGCGUGAGCACUGCGCCUGGCCUAUAGUUUUAUCUUUAGGCCUAUGAACUCUUUUGAGUUCAUUUCUAUACAUAUAGUAUACUAUUCUAUAAUAUUUGAGAUCCAUUUUUUCCCAUGUCAUCAUAUUUUUGUUUUCUGGCACUAUUUGCUAAUAUCUCCAUUUUAAGGUGAAAGAAUAAAAGAAAAAAAAUAGUGUAAUUUUAAUGUUCUUAGAUAAAGAGGAUAUGGUAUUAAUUGCAUAAGGAAGUAAGAAAAGAAAAAUGAGGAACAGAAAGAGGUAGAGAAGGAUAGCAGGAGAAAGGAAAGAAAAAGAAAAAUUAAAAAAAAAUGGGAAAAGCAAGGAAGAAAAGAAAAAAUCCAAGCAUUUCUCUGAAUCAAUAGCCACAUUUUUAUGCUUUCUAUUCUAAUAGUUUUUAAAGUCAAGCUCUGUUUCCACGACUACAGAUACAAAGAAGUUACUACCUAUUGGUUCAAGAAAAAUCUCCAAAUAGGUAAUAUCUCAAUCCAAAACAGAUCAAGACAAAACUAUAAACUAUUUAGUUGAAAAAGGCUCUCAAUAUUUUGUGCUGAAUUUUACAGAUGCCAUAGGAUUAAAGAUAGUCUGUAGCUGCAAACAGUCCAUUCAAAAGCAAGUGUCUAUGUAGCAAGGAUAUACACCUUGUAGGGGAGGAAAAGAUUGUUUUCUUUACCGGUUGCAAGGUUCUUGGCUGUGGCACCUGUAACAAAAGAUAGACUAACAGAAAAAAGCAUACGAGUUUAUUUAAUGUAAGUUUUUGUGACAAAGGAACUUUCAUAAAGAAAUGAAAACCCAAAGAAACAGGUAAACUUGUGCUUUUUAAUCUUAGGUUUGAGGAAAAUGUGGUCAGUCAGUGAGAAGUAUAAUUGGAUAAUGAAGGUCUGAUUUAAUGGCAAUAUGAUGGGGGGAAUUUAGCAAGGCCUGUUUAUUCAGAUUCUUAUCUGUGUCUAUGACUUCAGAUAUAAGAAUGUUUGCUUUCCCUGGGUAUGUAGAGGGCAUCUCUCCAAUGAGGGUUUAAUGACCUUCUUCAGGGGAGAAGAGAGAGAAGAAGGUAAGAGAGACCUUCCUUUUUCUGUGGUUUUCUCAAAUGCCAAUGUGCCAUAUUUUCUGGUAGCACGUCCUGAAUUCCACCUGCCUCAAAUCUAUACUUCAAUUUGCCAAGGAUAAUCUGGUCAUAGAGUUACUCCUUAGACAUUUUCAGAAGAGAAGAUCAACUGGAAACUUUUUUUGGAUACUUGCAUGUAAAAUAAAGAAUGUUAAUUAUUAUAAUGUCAUCAUUGGGUACCAACAUAAUAUUUUCCCCAGUUCAUUUCCUUAAAUUGAAUGUGGCUCAAGAAAUCUAGUACUCUCCUUUCAACACCUCUCACUUUCAGUAGUCUGUGAUGAAUAACUCACUUGUCUUUGCCUCAGCUGUUGAUAGAGAAAAGAGAAGAGAGAAAAAAGACAAGAGGGUAGUAUAUAGAAAAAGAGAUUAUGGUAGUUGGUAGAAUAACUUGACUUAACCUCCAUAACUGUUGGUAGAUGUUGAUUAGAGAAUGGAACUUCAAAUUGAACCCAUUUAUUUGUUUCUUAUAAUGGCAUGAGACUUGUAAUACCAAUAAACCUACGAAUGUUUUCAAUGUUCUAAUUUGUUUUUUAUUGAACAUUUGAUGUAGACAGUAAUAAAUUAGGCACUGUUUUUACAUUGUCUGUCUUCCCUCAUCCUUCCACUUCUGGAACUUAGAAAAUAGUCCCCUCUCUUCUCAUAUCUCUCUUCUCACUAUGCCAGAACAUGUAAGUAGGUGAAGUAGGUUUGUCGUCAGUAAUGAUUGGGUACCCACUGUCCUCAUACUACUAACUAACUUUUCCCUGUCUCUCCAUUGAACUCUCAUCAUCCAGGCCAUUCAUUCUGCAUUCUCUUUCUGUGUGUGUGUGGGUGUGUAUGUGUGUGUGUGUAUGUAUGUGUGUGUGUGUGCCCCUGCCUGCCUCUGUGUCUGUCUCUCUCUCUCUCUUUCUCUCUGUUAAUGACUCAACCAUUCACCUAGUCACCCAAACUAUAACCUGAAAUUUACACUUAGCUCCUUGCUUCUAAUCUCCCUCUUGCUCUCUAUCACAAGAUCAUUUAUAUUUACUUCCUUAAAAAUAC
rnacentral:lncRNA from 1 species